rnacentral:rRNA from 1 species
UACGUAGGGGGCUAGCGUUGUCCGGAAUCAUUGGGCGUAAAGCGCGUGUAGGCGGUUCGGUAAGUCCGCUGUGAAAGUCGGGGGCUCAACCCUCGAAUGCCGGUGGAUACUGUCGGGCUAGAGUGCGGAAGAGGCGAGUGGAAUUCCUGGUGUAGUGGUGAAAUGCGUAGAUAUCGGGAGGAACACCAGUGGCGAAGGCGGCUUUCUGGCCCGUUCUUGACGCUGAGGCGCGAAAGCUAGGGUAGCAAACGGG